rnacentral:rRNA from 1 species
AAUAGAUACCCAGGUAGUCCACGCCCUAAACGAUGUACACUAGUUGUUGUGAGGCUCGACCUUGCAGUAAUGCAGUUAACACAUUAAGUGUACCGCCUGGGGAGUACGGUCGCAAGAUUAAAACUCAAAGGAAUAGACGGGGACCCGCACAAGCGGUGGAGCAUGUGGUUUAAUUCGACGAUACACGAAGAACCUUACCUGGACUUGACAUAGUAAGAAUGAUUUAGAGAUAGAUUAGUGUCUGCUUGCAGAAACUUGCAUACAGGUGCUGCACGGCUGUCGUCAGCUCGUGUCGUGAGAUGUUGGGUUAAGUCCCGCAACGAGCGCAACCCUCGUCCUUAGUUGCUAACAGUUCGGCUGAGAACUCUAAGGAGACUGCCUACGCAAGUAGGAGGAAGGUGAGGAUGACGUCAAGUCAUCAUGGCCCUUACGUCCAGGGCUACACACGUGCUACAAUGGGGUAUACAAAGAGCAGCAAUACGGUGACGUGGAGCAAAUCUCAAAAAUGCCUCCC